rnacentral:tRNA from 3 species
GCGGGAAUAGCUCAGUGGUAGAGCACAACGUUGCCAACGUUGGGGUCGCGGGUUCAAAUCCCGUUUCCCGCUCCA